UACGUAGGUGGCAAGCGUUGUCCGGAUUUACUGGGCGUAAAGGGUGCGUAGGUGGAUAUUUAAGUGGGAUGUGAAAUCCCCGGGCUUAACCUGGGGGCUGCAUUCCAAACUGGAUGUCUAGAGUGCAGGAGAGGAGAGUGGAAUUCCUAGUGUAGCGGUGAAAUGCGUAGAGAUUAGGAAGAACACCAGUGGCGAAGGCGACUCUCUGGACUGUAACUGACACUGAGGCUCGAAAGCGUGGGGAGCAAACAGG
rnacentral:rRNA from 1 species